rnacentral:rRNA from 1 species
UGGGGAUUAGUGGCGAACGGGUGAGUAACACGUGGGCAAUCUGCCCUGCACUCUGGGACAAGCCCUGGAAACGGGGUCUAAUACCGGAUAUUGACCUUCACGGGCAUCUGUGAGGUUCGAAAGCUCCGGCGGUGCAGGAUGAGCCCGCGGCCUAUCAGCUUGUUGGUGAGGUAAUGGCUCACCAAGGCGACGACGGGUAGCCGGCCUGAGAGGGCGACCGGCCACACUGGGACUGAGACACGGCCCAGACUCCUACGGGAGGCAGCAGUGGGGAAUAUUGCACAAUGGGCGAAAGCCUGAUGCAGCGACGCCGCGUGAGGGAUGACGGCCUUCGGGUUGUAAACCUCUUUCAGCAGGGAAGAAGCGAAAGUGACGGUACCUGCAGAAGAAGCGCCGGCUAACUACGUGCCAGCAGCCGCGGUAAUACGUAGGGCGCAAGCGUUGUCCGGAAUUAUUGGGCGUAAAGAGCUCGUAGGCGGCUUGUCACGUCGGUUGUGAAAGCCCGGGGCUUAACCCCGGGUCUGCAGUCGAUACGGGCAGGCUAGAGUUCGGUAGGGGAGAUCGGAAUUCCUGGUGUAGCGGUGAAAUGCGCAGAUAUCA